AUUGAACGCUGGCGGCAGGCCUAACACAUGCCAGUCGAGCGGAUGAAGGGAGCUUGCUCCUGGAUUCAGCGGCGGACGGGUGAGUAAUGCCUAGGAAUCUGCCUGGUAUUGGGGGAUAACGUCCUGAAACGGGCGCUAAUACUGCAUACGUCCUGAGGGAGAAAGUGGGGGAUCUUCGGACCUCACGCUCUCAGAUGAGCCUAGGUCGGAUUGGCUAGUUGGUGGGGUAAAGGCCUACCAAGGCGACGAUCCGUAACUGGUCUGAGAGGAUGAUCAGUCACACUGGAAGUGGGACACGGACCAGACUCCUACGGGAGGCAGCAGUGGGGAAUGUUGGGCAGUGGGCGGAAGCAUGAUACAGCCAGGGCGCGUGUGUGAAGAAGGUCUUCGGAUUGUAAAGCACUUUAAGUGGGGAGGAAGGGCAGUAAGUUAAUACCUUGCUGUUUUGACGUUACCAGCAGAAUAAGCACCGGCUAACUACGUG
rnacentral:rRNA from 1 species